AUUGAACGCUGGCGGCAGGCCUAACACAUGCAAGUCGAACGAGUGGCGGAAGUGUGAGUAAUGUCUGGGAAACUGCCUGAUGGAGGGGGAUAACUACUGGAAAAGGUAGCUAAUACCGCAUACCAUCGGAUGUGCCCAGAUGGGAUGAGCUAGGAGGUGGGGUAAAGGCUCACCUAGGCGACGAUCCCUAGCUGGUCUGAGAGGAUGACCAGCCACACGGGAACUGAGCAACGGGCCAGACUCCUACGGGAGGCAGAAGUGGGGAAUAUUGCACAAUGGGCGCAAGCCUGAUGUAGCCAUGCCGCUUGUAUGAAGAAGGCCUUCGGGUUGUAAAGUACUUUCAGCGGGGAGGCGUUACCCGCACAAGAAGCACCGGCUAACUCCGUGCCAGCAGCCGCGGUAAUUC
rnacentral:rRNA from 1 species